rnacentral:rRNA from 1 species
GCAGUAGCCACGGUAAUACGUAGGUCCCGAGCGUUGUCCGGAUUUAUUGGGCGUAAAGGGAGCGCAGGCGGCUUAGUAAGUCUGAAGUUAAAGGCAUUGGCUCAACCAAUGUAUGCUUUGGAAACUGUUAGACUUGAGUGCAGAAGGGGAGAGUGGAAUUCCAUGUGUAGCGGUGAAAUGCGUAGAUAUAUGGAGGAGCACCGGUGGCGAAAGCGGCUCUCUGGUCUGUCACUGACGCUGAGGCUCGAAAGCGUGGGUAGCGAACAGGAUUAGAGACCCCAGUAGUCCCUGUCUCUUAUACA